rnacentral:rRNA from 1 species
AUGUCAGUUUCGUUAUUACAACCUUAUUUUUUUAUGAAGACAAAAAGCUACGCGCAAAUUCUCAUUGGAUCUCGGUUGUUCUUAACAGUGAUGGCUUUUCAUUUAAGUCUUCAGGUAGCACCACCAGAUCUUCAACAAGGUGGAAAUUCUCGUAUUUCGUAUGUACAUGUUCCUGCGGCUCGGAUGAGUAUAGUUAUUUAUAUCGCGAUAGCUAUAAACAGUUCCUUGUUCCCAUUAACAAAACAUCCCCUUUUUCUUCGCUCUUCCGGAACCGGUACAGAAAUUGGUGCUUUUUCUACUUUGUUUACGUUAGUGACUGGGGGGUUUCAGGGAAGGCCUAUGUGGGGUACCUUUCGGGUGUGGGAUGCUCGUUUAACUUCUGUAUUCAUCUUGUUCCUUAUUUACCUGGGUGCACUGCGUUUUCAAAAGCUUCCUGUCGAACCGGCUCCUAUUUCAAUCCGUGCUGGACCGAUCGAUAUACCAAUAAUAAAGUCUCCAGUCAACUGGUGGAAUACAUCGCAUCAACCUGGGAGCAUUAGCCGAUCUGGUACAUCAAUACAUGUUCCUAUGCCCAUUCCAAUCUUGUCUAACUUUGCUAACUUCCCCUUCUCUACCCGUAUCUUGUGCGUUCUGGAAACACGUUUUCCUAUUCCAUCUUUUCCCGAAUCUCCCUUAACGGAAGAUAUAGAAGCUCGAGAAGGAAUACCACUAAAAACCUAG